GCACCAAAACUAUGCAUAUGUACAGGAGUAGGAGUGGACCUCACCCCUGCCGGUGUAACUGGAAACGCAGGUGCCCCGAACACGUAGGAUGGGCUACCAAAUGACGGGACCGGGGCCUGUAGCGGAGGUGUGGUGUACUGAUCGGUCAGGAAUGACAUGUCAGGACGAUAAACAUCUCGAUCAGCAAACUGGUAUGACUCCUGAAGUGGAGGAGAAACAUGUGUGUGCCCACCACUAGGAGAGGUGUCCUCGUCAGCCCCUAAAUUCACCGCAAAACCACCAUCACCACCUACGUAGUCAUCCCCUGCAGUCUCAGUUGCCACCUCGGUCCAACGGGGCCAUUCCCCCGCCCCUGAAGGAGCCCGUGCAUCCCUAUCUGGCGCAGUAGAGGUGCCAACAUGGUGCGACCAGCUACUACUGCCCACAUGAGUGUAGUAAGUGCCAGGCUCCGGCUCAACUGGUGUGACAGGACGCCGACCUCUGCGUGUCGGAGGGCCUCCGUAACCCCUGACACGAGCAAUCACCCCUGUAGCAGACUCUGUGCCCGAUUGAGAUCGGGAGCAGCAGGGUCAAUGGCAGAGUCCACCUCUAGAAGCUGCUCCUCCUGUUACCAAACAUAAACAUGCAAAGAGAAGUCAGGCCGAGAAUACAUUCUAGAUGACAUAACAUAUGCAGUAGAACAAAAGUAAUUGUGGAAGACAGUAAAAGUAGUUGUUUACCAAUGACUGUGUGGCGCCCUGUGUCCCCUGAAAAGCAUCCGCUCUACGCCAGAACAAUGGGUUAACCAUGUAUCUACGUGUAACCUGGAGGUACCAAGGCAUGUAUGCGGGAGAGCAACCAUUGCCCAAAAUGAAUGGCGGAGAUGUCAUAGCUCGGGCAAGAG
rnacentral:lncRNA from 1 species